AUAACAUGUUCAAUUUGCGCUAUUUAAUUUGCAUAUGGAUACAUGAAUGGCGUUGGACUCUGAUAUGGGGGAGAGAAGUGCUUUACAAUUUUGUGGUGUCAGUAAAACCACAACUCGGACCCUGCGAGUUCCCAUUUACCACACGGACCGUCCGAAUUGCGUUUCACUAUACGCACGGUCCGAUUUGAUGCAGCCUGGACACGCAUCGCUCAGCAGCUUCUCCCCUAACGGUGCCCUGAAAUCAAACAAAGACUCAUGCAAUCCACUUUCAUUAUCCGGUUACAAUCACUUUCAGAUUUCACUUUCAACUUCGCUUCCACCUUCUUCUUCUUCCUUUCUCCGUUUAAAUUUUUUAAAUUUUUUUUAUAUUUCAUAAUUAUAAUUAUUAUUGUUAGGUGGCUAAUUAUUAUUGUUGUGGUUAGAAAUUGAAUUUAGGAAUUAUUAUCAUUUUUAUCAGAUAUAGGUUUUUUUUUAAUUUUUUUAAUAUUUUAUAAUUAAAAUUAUUAUUGUUAGGAAGUUUAUUAUUACUGUUGUUAUUAUUAGAAGCUGAAUAGAAAUGUG
rnacentral:lncRNA from 1 species